rnacentral:rRNA from 1 species
GACGAACGCUGGCGGCGUGCCUAAUACAUGCAAGUCGAGCGGACGAAUCGAAAGCUUGCUUUUGAUUCGUUAGCGGCGGACGGGUGAGUAACACGUGGGCAACCUGCCCUGUAGACGGGGAUAACACCGAGAAAUCGGUGCUAAUACCGGAUAACACGUAAUGUCGCAUGACGUUUCGUUGAAAGACGGCGCAAGCUGUCGCUACAGGAUGGGCCCGCGGCGCAUUAGCUAGUUGGUGAGGUAACGGCUCACCAAGGCGACGAUGCGUAGCCGACCUGAGAGGGUGAUCGGCCACACUGGGACUGAGACACGGCCCAGACUCCUACGGGAGGCAGCAGUAGGGAAUCUUCCGCAAUGGACGAAAGUCUGACGGAGCAACGCCGCGUGAGCGAAGAAGGCCUUCGGGUCGUAAAGCUCUGUUGUUAGGGAAGAACAAGUAACGCAGUAACUGGCGUUACCGUGACGGUACCUAACGAGAAAGCCACGGCUAACUACGUG